rnacentral:rRNA from 1 species
UGUUUAUCAAAAACAUGUCUUUUAGAAUUGAAUUUAAAGUCGGGCCUGCCCACUGAAUAAUUGAAUGGCCGCAGUAUUUUAACUGUGCAAAGGUAGCAUAAUCAUUAGUCUUUUAAUUGAAGGCUCGUAUGAAUGGUUGGACAAGAUAUAUAUUGUUUCAUAUAAAUUUAUAGAAUUUUAUUUUUUAGUUAAAAAGCUAAAAUUUAAUUAAAAGACGAGAAGACCCUAUAGAUCUUUAUAAUUAUUAAAUUUUAUUUAUUAAGAAUAUUUUAUAUUUGAUUUAUAUAAUUAUUUUAUUGGGGUGAUAGUAAGAUUAAUUUAACUCUUAUGUAGCUAAACCAUAAAUUAAUGAUUAAGUUGAUCCAGUAUUAUUGAUUAGUAAAAUAAGUUACCUUAGGGAUAACAGCGUAAUUUUUUUAGAGAGUUCAUAUCGAUAAAAAAGAUUGCGACCUCGAUGUUGGAUUAAGAGAUAAGUUUGGGCGCAGCCGUUCAAAUUUAAAGUCUGUUCGACUUUUUAAUUCUUACAUGAUCUGAGUUCAAACC